AGCUUCAUUGGUCCAGGCAAAUCAUGGCAGCUCUCUAUGCCUCAUUUUUUUAUUCCUCACACAAUGGAAUGACAUAACCCUCAGUGCUUACCUAAGGGAGGAGAAAUGAUUCCCCUGCCUUCUCCCCAUUUCUGCAUUUGCCAGAGCAUCAGAUUUUUGUGUCUGGCCAAGAAUAUAGGGAAGGAAGAGCAGGUAAGCUUUGGGCACAAAGAGGACGUUUAGGGGUUUCACUUAAGGAAAGAAAGUCAGAAGGCAGAGACAGGUGAUGGAGCAUGAUCUUGGGCCAAUGGUGAGGAAUUAAUGAAGUGCAAUGUUCAUGGGUUAGGUUGUGUAGCAGCCUGGGUCCCAUCAAGAGAUAGAAACCACAUAGUGGGUCUAACGGGGAAGUGUAGUAUAAAGGAUUGCAACUAUGAUAAAAGAGUCACUGUAAGACAUAAAGCAACUCUGCCUGGUGCCCUAUUGGAAAGAGAGGUACCCAAGGAAGCACAGAUUUGAAAGGUGUUCAGAUGUCAUAAAAUGUGGUUCAACCACCACAUAAGAGACGUUUGUGGAUUUGGGCAGGCUGGAGCUAGUCAGCAGCUUUUGCACAAGCACUGGGCCACCCACUGGAGUGCAGGUGAGGGAGCUGGCCAUG
rnacentral:lncRNA from 1 species